AAUUAGGGUGCCCGAAAGGGUGAAAAGGGAAGCCGGUGAAAAACCGGCGCAGCCCCCGCUACUGUAAGGCGGACGACUCCCUGAAAGCCACUGGAUCAUAUCCGGGAAGGCCGGGGAGAAGGAAGAAGCCGAGCCAGGAGACCUGCCCGAAUUG
rnacentral:ncRNA from 1 species